UACAUAAUAUUUCAACAGAAAACAUGAAUGCCGUUGACUUGACCCAUGACACCAAGAGCCCAAUGCAUAGAAAAACUCACAGGUCCACCAAAUAUUCAAAUUAGGUGGGCGCAUGUAAUCAAAUUAAGUAAACCUACGUCUGAUCACCAUUCAUUCCUGAUCCACCAUGCUAUAAAUGCACAAAGGACUUGUCAUUCCCGUAACUCCACAAGGCAGGAUUUCACCAUGGAGUACUCAAUCUCUUUAGCCCGUCUGGUUCUUAUUGUCAUAUGUACCGUUGCACUGCUCAUCGGGGUCAUGCCUUCAGUAGGGGCGGACACUCCCAAGCCUCGCACGUGGAAACGACCAUACUUACCACCCCCUCCGAAAGUCACACGGCCUCCAACAAUACAUCCUUAGUGUAAUCCAUGUUGUGAUCACUAAAGCCUUUUGGUUGUAUGCAAAAUUCAAUUCAGCGUAUGUAAUCUUUUUAAGAACCAUUUCUUUCCAGUAAACCUUACCUUUCCUUUUAA